AGUCAACAUGCCCAGGGGACGUGGAUAACCUCGGGAAACUGAGGAUAAACCGCGAUAGGUCAUCACUUCUGGAAUGGGUAAUGACUUAAACCUAUAUGGCCCCUGGAUUGGACUGCGGCCGAUCAGGCUGUUGGUGAGGUAAUGGCCCACCAAACCUGUAACCGGUACGGGCUCUGAGAGGAGGAGCCCGGAGAUGGGCACUGAGACAAGGGCCCAGGCCCUAUGGGGCGCAGCAGGCGCGAAACCUCUGCAAUAGGCGAAAGCUUGACAGGGUUACUCUGAGUGAUUUCCGUUAAGGAGAUCUUUUGGCACCUCUAAAAAUGGUGCAGAAUAAGGGGUGGGCAAGUCUGGUGUCAGCCGCCGCGGUAAUACCAGCACCCCGAGUGGUCGGGACGUUUAUUGGGCCUAAAGCAUCCGUAGCCGGUUCUACAAGUCUUCCGUUAAAUCCACCUGCUUAACAGAUGGGCUGCGGAAGAUACUAUAGAGCUAGGAGGCGGGAGAGGCAAGCGGUACUCGAUGGGUAGGGGUAAAAUCCGUUGAUCCAUUGAAGACCACCAGUGGCGAAGGCGGCUUGCCAGAACGCGCUCGACGGUGAGGGAUGAAAGCUGGGGGAGCAAACCGGAUUAGAUACCCGGGUAGUCCCAGCUGUAAACGAUGCAGACUCGGUGAUGAAUUGGCUUAUUGCUAAUUCAGUGCCGCAGGGAAGCCGUUAAGUUUGCCGCCUGGGGAGUACGGUCGCAAGACUGAAACU
rnacentral:rRNA from 1 species